UUCGCAAUGCCCGAAAGGGUGACGAAGCGACGCCGCGUGGGUGAAGAAGGCCUUCGGGUUGUAAAGCCCUGUCAGGAGUUAUGAAAUGUAGGUGCGAUAAUACCGUGCCUAUUUGACAAAGGCUCCAAAGGAAGCCACGGCUAACUCUGUGCCAGCAGCCGCGGUAAUACAGAGGUGGCAAGCGUUGUUCGGAAUUAUUGGGCGUGAAGAGCACGUAGGUGGGUUUGUAAGUCAGAUGUGAAAGCCUUCUGUUCAACGGAAGAAUUGCAUCUGAAACUGCGAGUCUUGAGUGUAGGAGGGGAGAAUGGAACUUCUGGUGGAGCGGUGAAAUGCGUAGAUAUCAGAAGGAACGCCGGCGGCGAAAGCGAUUCUCUGGCCUAUUACUGACACUGAGUGUGCGAAAGCUAGGGGAGCAAACGGGAUUAGAUACCCCGGUAGUCCUAGCCGUAAACGAUGGGCACUAAGUAGAGGGGUUUU
rnacentral:rRNA from 1 species